GUAGGUGGCAAGCGUUGUCCGGAAUUAUUGGGCGUAAAGCGCGCGCAGGUGGCUCUUUAAGUCUGAUGUGAAAGCCCCCGGGCUCAACCGGGGAGGGUCAUUGGAAACUGGGGAACUUGAGUGCAGGAGAGGAAAGUGGAAUUCCACGUGUAGCGGUGAAAUGCGUAGAUAUGUGGAGGAACACCAGUGGCGAAGGCGACUUUCUGGCCUGUAACUGACACUGAGGCGCGAAAGCGUGGGGAGCAAACAGGAUUAGAUACCCUGGUAGUCCACGCCGUAAACGAUGAGUGCUAAGUGUUGGGGGGUUUCCGCCCCUCAGUGCUGCAGCUAACGCAUUAAGCACUCCGCCUGGGGAGUACGGUCGCAAAGACUG
rnacentral:rRNA from 1 species